rnacentral:rRNA from 1 species
GAACGCUGGCGGCGUGCUUAACACAUGCAAGUUGGACGAGAAAUCGCAAGCUUGCUUGCGAGAGUAGAGUAGCGAACGGGUGAGUAGCGCGUGGGUAAUCUACCUCUGAAUUGGGGAUAACCCAUCGAAAGGUGGGCUAAUACCGAAUGAAGUCUUAGGAGCUGAGGUUUUUAAGAUGAAAGGUAGCCUCUGUUUACAAGCUAUUGUUUGGAGAUGAGCCUGCGUACCAUUAGUUAGUUGGUGGGGUAAGAGCUCACCAAGGCGAAGAUGGUUAGCUGGUCUGAGAGGAUGAUCAGCCACACUGGAACUGACACACGGUCCAGACCCCUACGGGAGGCAGCAGUGAGGAAUUUUGCGCAAUGGGGGCAACCCUGACGCAGCAACGCCGCGUGAGUGAUGAAGGCCUUCGGGUUGUAAAGCUCUGUCGUGUGGGAAGAAAGUAAUGAUACUAAACAGGUAUUGUUAUUGACGGUACCAUAGAAGGAAGCACCGGCUAACUCCGUGCCAGCAGCCGCGGUAAUACGGAGGGUGCGAGCGUUAUUCGGAAUUAUUGGGCGUAAAGGGCGCGUAGGCGGUUUAUCGAGUCAGAUGUGAAAUCCCUGGGCUUAACCCAGGAAUUGCGUUUGAUACGGAUAGGCUUGAGUAUGGGAGAGGGAAGUGGAAUUCCUGGUGUAGAGGUGAAAUUCGUAGAUAUCAGGAGGGACACCGGUGGCGAAGGCGACUUCCUGGACCAAUACUGACGCUGAGGCGCGAAGGCGUGGGGAGCAAACAGGAUUAGAUACCCUGGUAGUCCACGCAGUAAACGGUGAUCACUAGGUGUAGCGGGUGUUGACCCCUGCUGUGCCGGAGUUAACACAUUAAGUGAUCCGCCUGGGAAGUACGGCCGCAAGGUUAAAACUCAAAGGAAUUGACGGGGGCCCGCACAAGCGGUGGAGCAUGUGGUUUAAUUCGACGCAACGCGAAGAACCUUACCUGGGUUUGACAUCGAAGGAAUCUAGACGAAAGUUUGGAGUGCCCCGCAAGGGGAACCUGAAGACAGGUGCUGCAUGGCUGUCGUCAGCUCGUGUCGUGAGAUGUUGGUUAAGUCCCGCAACGAGCGCAACCCUUACCUUUAGUUGCUAUAUAUAGGACUCUAGAGGUACCGCUCCGGUUAACGGGGAGGAAGGUGGGGAUGACGUCAAGUCCUCAUGGCCUUUAUACCCAGGGCUACACACGUGCUACAAUGGGCUGUACAGAGGGACGCAAGCCUGUGAAGGUGAGCAAAUCCCAAAAAGCAGUUCUCAGUUCGGAUUGGAGUCUGCAACUCGACUUCAUGAAGUUGGAAUCGCUAGUAAUCGUGGAUCAGCAUGCCACGGUGAAUACGUUCCCGGGCCUUGUACACACCGCCCGUCACACCAUGAGAGUUGGUUGUACCAGAAGUUGUUGGGCCAACCCGCAAGGGAGGUAAACACCUAAGGUAUGGCUGAUGAUUGGGGUGAAGUCGGAACAAGGUA